rnacentral:misc_RNA from 2 species
UCGAGUUUUGAAACGAGUUGUUGCUGGCCUUCAAUCGAGGCAUGUGCACGCUUGGCUCAUCCACUCUUCAACCUCUGUGCACUUAUUGUAGGUCGGUGAAAGGCUUUGCGCUUCGGUGCUCAGCUGGAAGCCUUCCUAUGUUUUACUACAAACGAUUCAGUUAUAGAAUGUCUCUUGCGUAUAACGCAUCUAUAUA